rnacentral:rRNA from 1 species
UCCCAGACUCCUACGGGAGGCAGCAGUGAGGAAUAUUGGUCAAUGGGCGCGAGCCUGAACCAGCCAAGUCGCGUGAGGGAUGACGGCCCUACGGGUUGUAAACCUCUUUUGCCGGGGAGCAACGAGGCCACGUGUGGCCGAAGUGAGAGUACCCGAAGAAAAAGCAUCGGCUAACUCCGUGCCAGCAGCCGCGGUAAUACGGAGGAUGCGAGCGUUAUCCGGAUUUAUUGGGUUUAAAGGGUGCGUAGGCGGAACAUUAAGUCAGCGGUAAAAUCGAGGGGCUCAACCCCUUUAAGCCGUUGAAACUGGUGAUCUUGAGUGGGCGAGAAGUAUGCGGAAUGCGUGGUGUAGCGGUGAAAUGCAUAGAUAUCACGCAGAACUCCGAUUGCGAAGGCAGCGCACCGGCGCCCUACUGACGCUCAGGCACGAAAGCGUGGGUAUCGAACAGGAUUAGAUACCCUAGUAU